rnacentral:rRNA from 1 species
AUGGCAACGGCGAGGAAGGGGACGGCGACGCCGCUGGCCUCCGCGUUCUCGCCGGAGGAGACGAGGAGGGCCGUGUCCCACGUCGCCCAGGCCAUCGCCGACCGCCGCGCCGACCUCGCGCGCGUCCAGGGCUUCUUCGCCGACAACGCCGCCCUCGUCAACCUCGUCCAGCGCCUCCCCGACGAGCUCUCCCACCAAAUCAUGGUCCCCUUUGGCGGCGCCGCCUUUUUCCCGGGAAGCUUGAUCCACACCAAUGAGCUCCUGGUGCUUCUAGGGGAUGGGUACUACGCGGAUAGGUCGGCAAAGCAGACGACCGAGAUACUGCACAGGAGAGGGAUGGAGUUGGAGGCUCAAAUGGAGGGCAUCAAGGCAACCAUCUCCGACCUCGAGGCUGAGGCCAAGUUCUUCGAGUCCACCGCAGCCGAGGCUUCGGAGGGUCUUGUUGAAAUAAGGGAAGAAUAUGAUGAAGAAGACACAGAAAUAAUUUCAUCAAAAACAGAGGUUUCAAGUUCUUCUGGGGGCAUAUCAGAUGAGGAACAUGCUCGGAUGAUGGCUAGGUUUGAUGAGCUUGAAAUGUUAGAAAAGGAAGCUGGAAGUACUUCCGAAGAUGAAGGUGACGACGACGACGAUGAAGAUGAAGAUGCUGGAACAAGUGAGGAUGAUGAGGAAAAUGGGGACACAUUAAGUUAUGGCAAUGAGCAUGAGAAUGUUAGUUUUGGUGCCUCAGUUUCUGGAAGUGGUGGUAACGACCAGAGUCAAGGAAAUGCCCAGCUGAAGAGUGCACUAAAGAAGCUAGGAGAAAAGGAAGCAUUGCAAGGUUCUUCUCUUGCACCAUCAGGCAGUACCUCCAUAACAAACUCUGAAGUUCAUGCUUCACUUAGAAAAGCUGUUUCUUUUAAAGAUGAGAACGGGCAAAUAGUUAGUUCGUCUAGGUAUUCUUCAGGACCCAAGGUUUCUUCAUCUCGCGAUCGGAAGAUACUACCAGGUGGACAAAAGGCUUUCACUGGAUCUAUUGUUGAACACGAUGACGGUCUCUCAGCGAUAGAACAACCAAGGAGUAAUGAUAGUGAGAAAGCUGCUAGUUCUGCUUGUUCUUCAAGGCCGGUGUCUAGAUUCAAGAUGCAGAAGGGAGGGCGUUGA